GGUGGCAGCCGGGUUGAGCUGCUUGGCGGGAAGAGAGUGAGCUGGGCGGGCCGGCGUGCGUAUAUGGCGAGUGUGCGGUACCUCCGUGUCGGGAGGACGAGCUCCCCCGGGAUAGGAAAUGCAUAUGCUAAUUAGUGGCCAAGAUUAUAUAUCAGACAAUGAUACUGUGCUUGCUGCUACCCAAAACUUUUAAGAAUUCAUAUGCGGAGGAGAAGAACCUGGGCGCGCAGUUUUCAGUGUUAAGAAACAAAGGAAAAGCAUGUGCCACCUGCUGCCUUGGAAAACGUGCGACCGACCUACCCCUUCUGUAGCAAAGAUGCACUGAGUCCUGCAGUGGCCAAGCACUGCACAGGUUGAGCUGGGAAAGGACAUCACUUCUGUAAACCCAGGAGCCACCUCAAUCGGUAGAGGCAGCCUGCGAUUUCCUUCAGCCUGAGGGUUUGCCUGAAGCCUUUCAGAUGCUCAAAGAACUCCAGGAGCGACACUUGAAAACAUGGGUAUUCUGUCUGAAAGAAGCCUAGUGGGGCAAGUUCUGCAUUUCCCUGCACUUGCUGCUGUGGUUCUAGAGAAGUCUGAUCGAUCCAAAGGCAUUCAUGUCUGGCUGUGUAUGUCUCUGCUGGGAGAAAUCUCUGUAGUAUUUUGUACUCCAUUUCCAAAGACAGGGAAUCUUCUCUUCCUUGUUUCCCAGGUAAAAACACUUUUGUGUUCUGAGCUGACUUUCCACAAAACUCAUUUACCAGCUGCUCUUCUCAACACCAGCCAGAAUUAAUAAAUUCAUGGGACUACUUAGGGUAGUUAAGUGUAAGUUUAAGCACUCAAAACAUUAGAAGGGAAGGUGAAAAGCUGUGGAGUACUCUAAAUACAACUUGUGCAACUAUCCACACAUUGACUCUCAGGCUGAGGCCUUGUUCAAUCAGACUAUGCUGGCAUGAAAACAGAGCAUCAUGAAGCUCUGUAUUUCAGACAGAGUAAUGGUUGUCCAAGACUUGUGAAAGCAUUGGAUGAUUUUUAGUUGUUUCUGUCCUUAGAUGUGAGAACUAUGACAGGUUUUAGUUGUCAGAGAUGUGUGUCUGUCCUGUGGAGAGCAGGACACCAGUAAAGUGUCCCAGGUUGGAUCUUGGAUCCCAUGCAAAGCCUGCAACUGGAGAGAGCUCUCUGAGGAUAUUCGUCUAGCAUUUAUCUCAUUUUGGAUUUAAAGGUCUCAUCUAAAAAAUACUUUCAAGAACAUUUGAUUCUCUGACCCCUAGCUCUACCUGUAUCCUCUCUCUGUCAUGUGCUAAUGGUCACUUAGAUUGAAUGUUGCUCAGACUUCCCAGACAAAGGCCUUGCUAUAACCAGGCUAAAUUAGAUCAGAUUUGAAGUUUCACUGAGAGGAUGGUGAUUAAUUGAAGUGCACUCACGUAUGGGCUUCUUUACUUGUCCUUGCUCUAAAUGUAAUACACAGAUCUAAACAUCCACCCUGAGAACUCUGGUGUUGAUAAAAAUACCUUCCUUCUACUUUAUACUAGUAGUGAUAUUUAGCUGUCUGACAGAGCAGCUCCUCUAGGAUUUCUUCGUCACCAUUGUUCUCCGCCUGACAGGCUCAGAGAAUGUCUUUGGAUAAAUUCUGAAGAAGCUUCCAAAACUGAGAAUUAAAUCUUUAUGUGAGUAGGCUCUAUGCUCGAGGGGACUCUCUCAUACCAGUUUGAGUCUCUUAAAUGCCCAUCAACACAGUGAAUUUUUUUUGUAUGGAUGUGUAUAACGCUAACAUUGCCUUGAAGGAAGACCAGAAAGAAGCCCAACAGCUUCAGGAGCGCACUGCAGCUUCAUACAGCUUGUGACAUGGUGGUUACCUUUGGCAGGGUCAUGUUCAACGGAGCUUCUGCAAGGGCUUGCUCGUCAGUACUGGGAACAUGAACCAGAGCGAGGAAGCCGUUCCGGAUUUUGUUACUGGAACAAUCCAGUUUGUCUUCUAAGUACAAGUGCUUGCAAAAUGUCUAACAAGUUUGGUGGUUUUGGUUUUGUUUUGGUUUUUUUUUAGUUCAAUCUAGCACACUUUGGAACUACCCAAGUUUCAAAUACAUGUAUUGAUUUGUCUGAAAAGUUCUGCUGAUAUUCCAUCAGGAUGAAGGUGGUGUGGAAACAAAUUGUAACUCUGUUAGCUGUUCACAGCAGCAGGUGCUUUAUCAACUGAAAAAGCUGAAAUGUCUUUUGUGAGCCUGUAUAUCUGCCAGCUUGAGCAGUGAACAAAUACUGAUUUUUCUGUACAAACACUUCUGAGUGAAAGCACUAAUCGUCACUGACAGAACACCACCGCACUAUUCUUCAUGUGACAAUGGGCUGCUGCCAUCAGGUUUUACUUAAAUUUUUUUGUUAUUCUUAUUUAUCUUUAUAUUUUAUUCUUUUGCCUCUUCUGAAUGGUGCAAUAUUACUUCUGUUCUCAGCCAGCAGCUUAAAGGGAGUGGAAAAGGUGGCUGUGGUUUAGGGAUAUCGGAAGAAUAAUUAAAUGAAAUUAAAAAAUGAAAUGUCACUCUUCAAGCAUCUGACAUCAUGAAAACUGACUAAUGUGUUUUGAAUCUGGAUCUACCUUUUGAUGCCAUGUAGUGAUUUCUACCUGUGGUAACUGUGGUUCCUGAACUGCUUUUUGUAAGGAGUUUUUCAGAAGCCUUUAGGAAUCAGAAUAAAACUUUUGAACCAG
rnacentral:lncRNA from 1 species